CGGAGGCUACCGCUAUUGGAGUCCGAUUAAGACAUGCGAGUCGAGAGCUUUCGGAGCUCGGCAUACUGCUCAGUAACACGUGGGUAACCUGCCCUAUGCUGGGGGAUAACCUCGGGAAACUGAGAACAAUACCCCAUAGUCCACUACGCCUGGAACGGUGAGUGGAUGAAAGCCCCGGCGGCAUAGGAUGGGCCUGCGGCGUAUCAGGUUGUAGGGGGUGUAAUGUACCCUCUAGCCCUCGACGCGUACGGGUUGUGAGAGCAAUAGCCCGGAGAUGGAUUCUGAGACAAGAAUCCAGGUCCUACGGGACGCAGCAGUCGCGAAACCUUGACAAUGCGGGAAACCGUGAUCAGGGGACUCCAAGUGCCAGGAGUAAGAUCCUGUGCUUUUCAUCUCUCUUCAAAGGAUUUGGAAUAAGAGGUGGGUAAGGACGGUGCCAGCCGCCGCGGUAAUACCGGCGCCUCAAGUGGUAGUCGAUUUUAUUGGGCCUAAAACGUCCGUCGCCGGUCUGGUGCAUUCGUGGGUAAAUCAACCCGCUCAACGGGUUGAAUUCUGCGAGCACGGCCAGACUAGGGACCGGGAGAGGUGUAGGGUACGCUCGGGGUAGGGGUAAAAUCCUGUCAUCCCGAGCGGACCACCUGUUGCGAAGGCGCUACACUAGAACGGAUCCGACGGUCAGGGACGAAGCCUAGGGGCACGAACCGGAUUAGAUACCCGGGUAGUCCUAGGUGUAAACGCUGUGGACUUGGUGUUGGAAGCUCCCAGAGGGCUUUCAGUGCCGUAGCGAAGGUGAUAAGUCCACUGCCUGGGGAGUACGGUCGCAAGGCUGAAACUUAAAGGAAUUGGCGGGG
rnacentral:rRNA from 1 species